UACAGAGGUCCCAAGCGUUGUUCGGAUUCAUUGGGCGUAAAGGGUGCGUAGGCGGCGCGGUAAGUCGGGUGUGAAAUUUCGGAGCUUAACUCCGAAACUGCAUUCCAUACUGCGGUGCUUGAGGACUGGAGAGGAGACUGGAAUUUACGGUGUAGCAGUGAAAUGCGUAGAGAUCGUAAGGAAGACCAGUGGCGAAGGCGGGUCUCUGGACAGUUCCUGACACUGAGGCACGAAGGCCAGGGGAGCAAACGGG
rnacentral:rRNA from 1 species